rnacentral:rRNA from 1 species
CCUACGGGGGGCAGCAGUGGGGGAUAUUGCACAAUGGGGGAAACCCUGAUGCAGCGACGCCGCGUGAGUGAAGAAGUAUUUCGGUAUGUAAAGCUCUAGCAGCAGGGAAGAAAAUGACAGUACCUGACCAAGAAGCCCCGGCUAACUACGUGCCAGCAGCCGCGGUAAUACGUAGGGGGCAAGCGUUAUCAGGAUUUACUUGGUGUAAGGGGAGAGUAGACGGUGGCGUAAGUCUGGAGUGAAAGCCCGGGGCGCAACCCCGGGACGGCUUUGGAAACUGUGUAACGGGAGUACUGGAAGGGCAGGCGGAAUUCCCGGUGUAGCAGUGAAAUGCGUAGAUAUCAGGAGGAACACUCGGGGCGAAGGCGGGUUGCUGGACAUUAACUGACGCUGAGGCACGAAGGCCAGGGGAGCGAACGGGAUUAGAUACCCGUGUAGUC